CCAAGUUUGAAGACCCCUGAUCUAGGUUUCCCAACCUUGGCCACUUUCAAGAAGUGUGGCCAACGUUGGGAAGCCCUGAUCUAAAGCAAUGUAGAGCCUUGUAGAACGACGGCUCCGAGCGCAUACAAAACAUAGAAAUUAGGAAAUGACUUCCCUGCUGUAAUAAAUUAGGAAGAAAUCCUUCGGAUCGAACGAAGGAG